rnacentral:rRNA from 1 species
UGAGGAAUUUUCCGCAAUGGCCUAUUGGCUGACGGAGCGACACAGUGUGAAGGAUGAAGGUUCUCGGAUCGUAAACUUCUUUUCUGAGGGAAUAAAGUUUGAAGUUACCUCAGGAAUAAGCACCGGCUAACUACGUGCCAGCAGCCGCGGUAAUACGUAGGGUGCAAGCAUUAUUCGGAAUUAUUGGGCGUAAAGAGUUUGUAGGCGGCGAAUUAAGUAGGAGGUGAAAACUCCGGGCCCAACCCGGAAUCCGUCUCCUAAACUGGUUUGCUAGAGGUAUGUAGAGGCAAGUGGAAUUUCCGGUGUAGGGGUAAAAUCCGUUGAGAUCGGAAGGAACGCCAAAAGCGAAGGCAGCUUGCUGGACAUACCUGACGCUGAGAAACGAAAGCGUGGGGAGCAA